UACGUAGGGGGCAAGCGUUGUCCGGAUUUAUUGGGCGUAAAGAGCGUGUAGGCGUCCAUCCAGGUCCGUUGUGAAAACUGGAGGCUUAACCUCCAGACGUCGAUGGAAACCGUAUGGCUAGAGUCCGGAAGAGGAGAGUGGAAUUCCUGGUGUAGCGGUGAAAUGCGCAGAUAUCAGGAAGAACACCCGUGGCGAAGGCGGCUCUCUGGGCCUUACCUGACGCUGAGGAGCGAAAGCGUGGGGAGCGAACAGG
rnacentral:rRNA from 1 species